rnacentral:lncRNA from 11 species
CUUUCCUAGUGCUUGAAUAAAUACCUUUUACUACAGGACUCUGCUGGCUGAUGUAUUUUCACCUGUAAUCUUCACCCAUUUCCACACUGAAUUCAUUGACUAGCACCUAGAAAAUACUUGAAGAAGAGGGAUUCCAGUCACUUUUCUGGUAGAAACAAAAGCAGAUGGGGAAGAGCGACUGGUGGUGCUUUCGAAAUAGACCUA